rnacentral:tRNA from 1 species
GCCUGGGUGGCUCAGUCAGUUGAGCAUCUGACUUCAGCUCAAGUCAUGAUCUCACAGCUCGUGAGUUCGAGCCCCACGUCAGGCU